rnacentral:lncRNA from 1 species
GAUGAAGUCUCUUCAUAACCUUUGAUUACUUAGCACACUCCCGUGGGCUCCCCCUCCUUUGGGCAUAAAACAUUUUUCUAGCUAUACCCCCAAUUUUCAGUCUCCCUUUGUCUUUUGUAUAUUUUUUAUUUUUAUUUUCUUAUUAUUGCUUUAUUUAUUAUUUUUGUUCUUUUUGUUUGUUUGAGAUUGAACAUUUGCUUGGUUG